CGGGGGAGCCCGGCUGUUCCAGCUGUUGCCGGGCAAUGUUCCGCCGGCAGCAGCCCAGCGCCCCGGGCGGCCCGCGCAGCGCUGCGCAACCUUCAGCCCUCUGGGCCCAAGGACAGAAGCGCAGGAGCUGGAAUGACUUGGGUUCCUCUGCCUUGGAUGAAUGUCGCGGUGGACGCUUGGACGACAGGGUAGAGAGCUUUCCAUCAUUAGAAGGUUCUAGGUCCCUUUCAAGUUGUUCAGACAGGGGAAACGUAGCUGAAGAAAGCAAAACCAUGAAGAGGUUGGACAACAAAAAAAAUGGAAACUCUGUUUCAAAUGACUCUACCAAACCAGUGGAAAGGGAAACGGAUGAAGUGGUUCUGAGGAGAAGACAAAAACAGAUCAAUUUUGGGAAAAACACACUUGCGUAUGAUAGAUACAUUAAAGAAGUUCCAAAGAACCAGCGGAUACCAGGAGUUCACCCUAGGACCCCCAACAAAUUUAAGAAGUACAGCCGCAGAUCCUGGGACCAGCAGAUCAGGCUGUGGAAGAUAGCACUUCAUGCUUGGGACCCCCCUACUGAAGAAAGCUGGGACCUGCAGCCAAUUAGCACAGACCCUCCAGGCAGUUCUCAGGAAUGGCACUGCAGAGACUGGAAUGACCCUGAUUCUUCUGAGUUUGAAAAGCAGAACAGAAAUUCAUAUGAAAACCAAAGCGAGCAUUCAGAUUAUGGGCCUGAGAGCAGUCAUUCACCAGAUUCUUCUCCAGUAUGGAAACGCAGAAAACAGAACGGUCCUGAUUCCUCCAUGUCUGAUGGCAAAAACCUGUAUAGACAUCAAGAGAACAGCCUGGAGAGUUUUCAGCUGCCACCCAGACCUUCUCAAGGGCGGAACCGUGAAAUACAGAACGAACCUGACUUUGUAUUUGACAGAGAAGAGUGCAGAGAAUCGGAUUCGACGCUGGCGAGGUGUAUGUUACCAGAAGACUGUAGCUCCCUUUCGAGGUGUUCUGACUGGAGAAAUGUGGGUGCUGAAGAUAAAAUAAUGAGGAAAAAGAUUAAAGAAAUAGCAAGAAGCAUUAAAGAAGAAGGACUUCCUUCAGGGAUGCAAAAUGAAUGCAAGUGCAGCUUGACAUCCUGGGAUCAGCGGAUCAAACCUUGGAAGACAAAUCUGGACUCCAAGGAUUCCUACAAUGAAAAAGAAACAGAUUUAUGAGAAGCGUGAAAUUAUGAAGCAUCACUGGGAUUUGUUCAGACAUCAAGAUCUACUUUUAAAGAGAAGUUUCCCCUGUGAUGUUUGGCUUCCAAUGUGUUUAAAUCUGAUUUACAAAGGCCAAAGAUUUAUUUUUUUUGACUCGCCUGAAGAAUUUAAAUGUUUCUUGAAAACCAUCCCACGGGAACCUGUCUGAAACCCUGUUUUCCCAGGUUUUUGAAGGACAGCAAUAACAGGCUGCUGCUCUUAUCUCUCUCCCUCCUUCCGUGGUUGUGCUACAGCUUCACUGACAUCUGAUCUGUUCACACCCCAUCAGUUCACCUUUGUGCUAAGAUGAAGUUUCUUAAAACUUAAGUGGUAUGCCUUUUUGAGACUGCCAACACAGGUAAUGAGGUAACAUGUGGGACAUUUUAAAGGCUAUCUCUAUAUGCAGUUCCUGCUGUUAUCAGCAGGAGUACCAUGCUGCAUGUAGUAUGCUAAUGACCUACUGGAACAUUAGUCUCAUAUUGACUCCAGGAAAAAGUAGAACAUACUAAGUAGUCGUCAACAAGUCCCAAAGUACUUAGAACUUAGCUCAUCUUUGAAUGUGUGAGAUCUGACAGCCUCCAGUUAUUACCAUUAAAGAUGCAUGUUUAAGAAAUAAAUAUGGUAUAUUUUGAAGAAGUAGCAUUUACCAUCUUGUUUUACUCUAUUGUGCGUGUUUCCAUAUGUUUUAUAUAUGUUUGUAAAUGAAGGAAAAAUAAAAUUUGUAGCAUGGUGUCUUUGUUUUAAAAAAAAAGGAAAUAAGGACCAUGAUCUGGGCAACCUUCUCCAAUUUUUUUAAAUGUCUCUUAAUGAUAAUGAUAAUAUGGCUGUCAUCUUUCAUUUCAGGGGAAUAAAUGGGUUCAAGUUA